GGCAGCUGUGGCGCGUGUUCCCUCGCUGAUUGGCCGGUAGCCACUGAGCGUCAGCCGGGGGCGGAGAACGCCAGGAGUGGCUGAGAAGAAGAAGACAGCCGAGAGCUGAUUCGCCGCCGUCUGUCACGUGUUACUAGAGGGGCUGUGACACCCGCUGUGGCGGAGGGGCUCGGCUUGUCAGGACAACUUCUUGUGACAAGGAGUUUGGAUUGCCAUCAUCUCAUAUCAUGAAAUCACAUUUCAGGGGAAUAUCUGACUCCAAAGCAGUGGUUUCUGCUUGGAAAUGUUCAUUAAUGUAAGACAGUGUCCUCAUGAAACUUGUUCCAGAGAAGGGGUGCAUUUUAAAUAAGGUGAUUAAACUUAAAAAAUGUGAAAGCAUGGACAAUUCUAUGAAACACUGAGUAAAGGUAUUUAAAAAAAAUAAAAUUGUCCUAUUCCUUCAGCAAACUGUUAUGACAAGUGCUUUUGUAGACAAUUUCAGUGAAAAUCAUUCAGCUUUGGAGUGCCAUUCCACUAACAAAAAGCUAAAAAGCAUGAAAGCGGAACACACACCUGCUUUUUGUUGGUGUGAGUUUGUCAUAUGUUAAAACACACACGCGCACACACACACAAGAAAAAAAAAAAAAGAAAAAAUCCUAAAGCACUAUGAGUGGUGUGCUUUCUCUGAAGGAGAGAAGGAGAGUUGCCUUUCCAUCAUUUCUGUGGUAUAUGUUUGUUCACCAGUUCAAUUAAAAAGAUGUGGUAACUCAGCAGAUGAAAGGAAAUGCUUAAUUUGCUAAUGCACAAAAAUGUUAGCAGUUGAAAGUUGGAGAAAAAUGGGUUUGAUGGAUAGACAACUCCCUGGAUAAAGGAUUGGCUGGAUGGUUGUACUCAGAGAGUUCUGAUCAGUUGUGCAGUGCCCAAGAGGAGACCAGUGACAAGUGGAUUUUCUCAGGGAUCGCUGUUGGGUCUGGUGUUACUUAACAUCUUUGUAGGCAAUGUGGACAGUGGGAUUGAGUGCACUCU